AGCUCGCUCCGCCGCUUUCCCUCUCACCGCCUCGCCUCGCCCGACCGUGUCUUAUUCGUCCCCGUCGUUUCCGGUUUUGAUUCUGCCCCGCGGGUUCCGGAUUCGCGUCGCCGCCGCUGGGUCCGAUUCGCCUCCGCCGCCGCCUGAUUAGAGUUCGGCGCCGCCACCACCAGUUGGGAGCUCUCUCCGCCAACCGUCUCAAGGUCCAUACACCCUCCGUUCACUCUCUCAUGGAUUUUUACUCAGCUUCCCGUCGACAGGCCAUGGACCCGUCGGGCUGGACAUCGCUCCCCUCCGACCUCGUCAGGCGCGUCGCGGACCUCUUCCUCGCCACCAGCGACGUGGACUACUACAUGAGCGUGCGCGCCGUGUGCCACAACUGGCGCGCCGCCACCGACGACCCGACCGGGCCGGACCCUCGCUUCACCCCCCGCGGAUGGGUUUUGGUCGCGUCUCUCGCCGGCGGUGAUCAAACCGGCCGCCGCUGUCUCUUUCUCCAUGUCAACACCGGCCGUUUCCUGUGGAAGGGCCCGCUCCGCAGCUACACCUGUGUUGCCUCCACUGAGGACGACCACCUAGUCUUAGAGCCGGCAUCCAGGAACUCCAGGAUCUGCCUCCUCAAUCCCAUGACUGGCCACCUAGUCAGCUUGCCCGUAACUACGGCGCAGUUUCUCGGGGACAACCAAUUUGGUCUCAGUCACGACAGAAACAUGUUCGCGACAGGCUCUUCAUCGAUGGUGCUCUACAGCUUUUUUGAUUCCAGUUCUGGCGGGUGCAUCGAUCUGACCUGGGAUGCUGUUUAUAAUCGGGAGUCACUGUUCAAAGCCAUGACGGGUAUGUUUGCCUCCAUGGUGCCCUUCAAUGGUCGCGCUUACGCCGUGAACGAGAAUGGGUCAGUCGCUGUGGUGGAACACAACUGCAGGCUGGAUGAGAAGCCUGAGGUCACCAGGGUUAUCACCGGCAGCUGGAAUUGGAUGGACGGCCGCAACACGUUCCUUGUUGACAAUGCAGGGGAGCUGCUGGUUGUGAGCCUUCUGGUGUCGCGGAGAGAGGUGCAGGUCUUCAGGGUGGAUCUCAAGAAUGGACUUUUGGAGCAGAUUAAGGGUAUUGGCAACCGUGCUAUCUUCCUUGGCAAGCGGCGGUGUUUGUCGGUUGAUGCUUAUAAAUUCCAAGCCAUCGAAAGCAACUGCAUCUACUACAUUGGCAAUCGCUUUGGCUUCGACUGCGGGAUUUUCAUGCAUUGCCUCAAGGACGGCAGCCAUGUGAAACUCUUUGAGUCCUGUUGUGUCCCGGAGGGCCCCAAGAGUCUUGCCAGAGUUAUCAUGGAGUAUGCUUGCUAUGGACAUAAUGCUUAGUGCUGCAUAACAAUCCGUUACUUUCUUCUCAUCCAAGGGGAAAAAAUGUCUUGUGUGUUCGUUGCAAACUGAUGGCCGGUUGCCUCAGGGUGAACGCACAUUAAAGCGGAUGCAUACACAAAGGACCUGAUUGGUUGCUAACAAAGGCUUCUCCAGUAUCUAGUGGGCAACCCUGCUUGACUC